rnacentral:rRNA from 1 species
CCCUUAGAUGUUCGGAGCUGCACGCGCGCUACACUGAAGGAAGCAGCGUGUUAGAGCGCCUGGCUUGAAAGAGCUGGGUAAUCCGGUGAAUGUCCUUCGUGAUUGGGAUAGGGACUUGUAAUUAUUUCCCUUGAACGAGGAAUACCUAGUAAGUGCGAGUCAUCAGCUUGCGCUGACUACGUCCCUGCCCCUUGUACACACCGCCCGUCGCACCUACCGAUUGAAUGGUCCGGUGAAAUCUUCGGACCGGGCGAUAGUCAGCAAUGACCGUUGCCUGGAAAGUUGCUUAAACCUUACCAUUUAGAGGAAGGUGAAGUCGUAACA